CACUACCACCAUAGCCACCACCUUCUCAAGCUUGAACCACCCUAGAACCACCACCACCUCAUACUUUCGAAAAUUGCAAAAUCACCCCCACAAAAAGAUGUAUUUUCCUUUCUUCUCCAUUGGCUUUGAACUCUCCAAAAACUCUAUAAAUACAUCCAAUGCCCAAGAUCAAAAUACACUCUCCACUUCCAAUCUCACUAUCUACAAGUUUAAGGUCUCCUUAUAUUUCAACAAGAGGAGAAUUUUCGGCCAAGCUUAGGAGUAAGCUUCUCAUCCCUCUCUUCUUCCUUCUUCUUUUCCGAAAGAGCAAGGCUCUUCUUCCUCUAAAGUUCUUUUGUUUUUCUUCUUAUUUUCUUAAUGCCUAAUCUAACUCUUAAUCUCUUCUUGUAUUAGAGAGAAAAGAGCUAACAAAUCCUUCCCCUAAAGAGUAUAGGU
rnacentral:lncRNA from 1 species